CCCCCAACAUAAAGAAGCGGCACGCGCGCAAUUACCCAAUCCUGACUCAGGGAGGUAGUGACAAGAAAUAACAAUAAACCGGCUUAUGCCGGUUUAAUUGGAAUGAGUACAAUUUAAACAUCUUAACGAGGAACAAUUGGAGGGCAAGUCUGGUGCCAGCAGCCGCGGUAAUUCCAGCUCCAAUAGCGUAUACUAAAGUUGUUGCAGUUAAAAAGCUCGUAGUUGGAUUUCUGUGGGGACGGAGCGGCCGGCCGCACAUCGCGGUUCGAGCUAGCGCUUUCCCUACAUCCUGCCGCGAACCGUGCUACCAUUAGUUUGGUGGCGCUGGGGAUCGGCUCGAUUACUUUGAGAAAAAUAGAGUGUUCAAAGCAGGCCACAUGCCUUGAAUAAGUUAGCAUGGAAUAAUAACUAAGGACUUCGGUUCUAUUUUGUUGGUGUUCGGGACUGAAGUAAUGAUUGAUAGGGACAGUUGGGGCGGUCUGUAUUCCAAAGCGAGAGGUGAAAUUCUUAGACCUUCGGAAGACAAACAGCUGCGAAAGCGUUCCGCAAGGAUGUUCCCUUUGAUCAAGAACGAAAGUUGGGGGAUCGAAGACGAUCAGAUACCGUCGUAGUCUCAACUAUAAACUAUACCAGCUAGGGAUCGGCCAACGUUAUUUUAUACCGACUUGGUCGGCACCUUAUGAGAAAUCAAAGCAUCUGGGUUCCGGGGGGAGUAUGGUCGCAAGGCUGAAACUUAAAGGAAUUGACGGAAGGGCACCACCAGCCGUGGAGCCUGUGGCUUAAUUUGACUCAACACGGGAAAACUUACCAGGUCCAGACAUAGUAAGGAUUGACAGAUUGAUAGCUCUUUCUUGAUUCUGUGGGUGGUGGUGCAUGGCCGUUCUUAGUUGGUGGAGUGAUUUGUCUGGUUAAUUCCGUUAACGAACGAGACCCCAGCCUGCUAAAUAGCGCGAGUGAGCUUUGCUCGCUGCGAGCUUCUUAGAGGGACUAUGAUGCGCGAUAGCACAUGGAAGUUUGGGGCAAUAACAGGUCUGUGAUGCCCUUAGAUGUUCUGGGCCGCACACGGGCUACACUGGCGCCUGCAACGAGCAUAUCAGCUGGCCCGAGAGGGUCUUGGCUAAUCUUUUGAACCGGCGCCGUGCUUGGGAUUGACCUUUGCAAUUGUUGGUCAUGCAACGAGGAAUGCCUUGUAAACGCGAGUCAUCAGCUCGCAUUGAAUACGUCCCUGCCCUUUGUACACACCGCCCGUCGCUCCUACCGAUGAAUGUUCCGAUGAAAUUUUCGGAGAGCACCUGUGAACUUGGCUCUGCCUUGCGAACGGGAGGCUCAAAGUCACUUAAAUCGAAACUUUAGGA
rnacentral:rRNA from 1 species